rnacentral:rRNA from 1 species
UACGUAGGGUGCGAGCGUUAAUCGGAAUUGCUGGGCGUAAAGCGUGCGCAGGCGGUUUGCUAAGACAGGUGUGAAAUCCCCGGGCUUAACCUGGGAACUGCGCUUGUGACUGGCAGGCUAGAGUACGGCAGAGGGGGGUGGAAUUCCUGGUGUAGCAGUGAAAUGCGUAGAUAUCAGGAGGAACACCGAUGGCGAAGGCAGCCCCCUGGGCCUGUACUGACGCUCAUGCACGAAAGCGUGGGGAGCAAACAGGAUUAGA